AUGCAAGUCGACUCGAGUCUUCGGACUUGGGUGGCGCACGGGUGAGUAACGCGUAAAGAACUUGCCUCUUAGACCGGGACAACAUCUGGAAACGGAUGCUAAUACCGGAUAUUAUGGUUUUUUCGCAUGGAGGAAUCAUGAAAGCUAGAUGCGCUAAGAGAGAGCUUUGCGUCCCAUUAGCUAGUUGGUGAGGUAACGGCCCACCAAGGCAAUGAUGGGUAGCCGGCCUGAGAGGGUGAACGGCCACAAGGGGACUGAGACACGGCCCUUACUCCUACGGGAGGCAGCAGUGGGGAAUAUUGGCCAAUGGACCACAAGUCUGAUCCAGCAAUUCUGUGUGCACGAUGACGUUUUUCGGAAUGUAAAGUGCUUUCAGUCGGGAAGAAGUCAGUGACGGUACCGACAGAAGAAGCGACGGCUAAAUACGUGCCAGCAGCCGCGGUAAUACGUAUGUCGCAAGCGUUAUCCGGAUUUAUUGGGCGUAAAGCGCGUCUAGGCGGCAAGGAAAGUCUGAUGUGAAAAUGCGGAGCUCAACUCCGUAUGGCGUUGGAAACUGCCUUACUAGAGUACUGGAGAGGUAGGCGGAACUACAAGUGUAGAGGUGAAAUUCGUAGAUAUUUGUAGGAAUGCCGAUGGGGAAGCCAGCCUACUGGACAGAUACUGACGCUAAAGCGCGAAAGCGUGGGUAGCAAACAGG
rnacentral:rRNA from 1 species